AGCAGAGAACUGGAAGGGAAGGCGGCCAAAGGAGGAAUAGGAUUUGGGGGUGACCAGUGAAAUAUACCUGCUGGAGUGCGUGCUACAGGCAGAAUGGGAUGUGGACCUUAUGAUGUUAAUCAGGCAGAACACAGACCAGCUCUCAGCCCAUACAACAUCUUCUGCCUGAAGGAACAAUCCUUUUGUCAUUGUUGACAAACCAACCGAUCAAUGUGGGGUAUAUCUAAUCCUCCAGUAAUCUGAUGUAAUGAUUAAUCCUCCAGUAAUCUGAUGUAAUGUUUUAUCCUCCACUAAUCUGAUGUAAUGUUUUAUCCUCCACUAAUCUGAUGUAAUGUUUUAUC
rnacentral:lncRNA from 1 species